UCUCUUCACCUAUCCCCUGUCAGCCUGCCUUCCUCGACCUGCUCGCCAAUCCAAGUGUUGCGAGGUUAGGAAAUUGCGUCUGCUGGUACUAUUCUGGAUGUGAAUUUCCCUUUGUUUGCAAUCGCGUGUGUGUACCUACCUGUGAAUCGAUGAGAAGGGUGCGUCAGAACCGAUCGAAUUUGACUUUGGUGCCGAUGUCUGACAGUCUGAGAAGAGAUCGAACAAGGGAUCGGUUCGUUGUUGAGGAGUCUGAUAUGAACACAUUCGCAGCCCAUCGUCCAAAAUUAAUCUAAAUAAUGGUACAGUAGUAUCAUUGGUUCCCUUUUUAUAUGAAGGCAUGAAACCGUUCCUGCUUUUCGGGUUCGGGAAACACUUUGUUCUCUAGUUGGCAGUACUUUGAUUAGGCAUAUUAGUUGGCAACAAGAGUUUGCAUCUGUCCAUAUGAUUUGAUUGCUGAAGUAUAUGACGCUUUUUGACAUGGCAACAAGAGUCUGUAUCUGUCCAUAUGCAGCAUUUGGCACCAGUGGUUUGUACAUCGUGAUAUUUGUACUUCAAGCAGAGUUCUUCGCAAAAAAAAAACUUCAAGCAGAGUUACAGACCCAUAAAAACUACUCAUGGUCAGAAUUAUUCUCAAUGGUAAGUUAAUUGAAAGUGUACAUUCAGGAUCAGAUAUGUCGAACAAGGCUAGCAUGCAUAUAUAUGAUUUAGCAUUUAACAUUUGAGCACAGAGUUAAGAAGUUUGGUUUUCCUCUUCAGUUGAUCACAACCUUGCCGUUGUGUACCGCAUAAACAACUCUCAUCUUUCCCCAUAGCAUGAUAUUUAGAGUUUAGCAAGCUAGGUAAACUAUGACUGGGUAUUUUAUUCGCCUAGAUUUUCUUCAUUUUUAACUGACGAUCAUAUGACAAUCUUCUGUCAGGUGGUUUGGUCGAACAGGCGACGCUUUUACUGGCAAGGUCCCAGGAAAACUUAUUCAGGAUGGCAAAUAAAUGUAUUUACAGCAGGCCUUGGUUUUAAGGUUUUUUUUUACGAAAGACUGAUAGGGAUAUGCUAGUUUUACUAAAUUUGGUAAAACCAAAACACUGCGAAAAGGAAAAGGAGUCACACUUAAGAAGAACAACUAGGAAGUUUUCACACAUAUUAAUGCAUUACUCAAGCUACUGGCCCCUAGCACACACUAUGCUAUGAUAUGUUUGGUUAGUAUAUUAAGGUUUCCAAUGCUCGCCACACAUUUUUCCAUUCAUGUCUGAGGUCAGGCAAUCAAAAUGAAAUCCACAUUUUGACACACUUGAGGAAAGCUUGCCACGCCUUUUGAGUCACUGACAUAUGGGACCCACAUUGCAUGAAAAGAAUCUUCCCACAAGUAUGACACGAACCAAACAUGUGACUUGACUAAUUUUUUUUGGAAGAAAGACUAACUCAUUCAAAGUUGGCGAUGUCAUGGUAAAGUAUGGCACUGUUUGUAUACUAACCAAACAUCUCUAGCUUACUCAUUCAAGAAAAUAUUUCUAGCUUACUGUAUAUAUACAAGAAAAAUGUGUACGCAUAACGGUGGCUAUCAUUUUUGUCUAAGUUUGUGGGGCUGAUCAAACCAUCCGCCAGGGCUCUUUCCCAUGUAAGAUGUGCACGAAGUUUGCCAGGGACAACCUGGUUGGUUCCUUAUGAACUCCCUAAAAACAUUUGCGAUUUCUCUUCCCUCAGACAGUAUAGCAGUUCAGUCUGUCAGGAACUGGCAAAUCAACAACAGAAACUGCCAAAAGAGUGAAAGAGCUGAGAUUUGUUUUAAUCAAAACACUGAUCUGCCUAUUGCUCUAUCUGAGUCUUACUCAGGAUUUAUUUUUUCAAUCUUUCAUUUGGCCGUAUCUGGUAUAUUUAGUGUCUUCCCUGGAAAAAGCUGUAUUUGUACUGGAAGCCAAUUAAUGUUCUCGAUUUGUUGGACGUAGGUCUAGGCAGGAUGAUAAUAGGUUUCUAGAUUUUCCUUGAAGGCUUGAAGCAAAAUGGGGACCUUGUUGCAUCGAUCACAGUGUAACAGAAUUGGAGAAAGACAUGGUAAAUCUGGAGCUGUUCUUGAGCUGCCACACUAACUUGCACAUGUACAAUACUUUUGAAGGACAUGAACAUUUACAGUACAUCUCAAUACGAACACUUGAUAUGUCGAUGGAGCACUGCACGUCCCAAGGUUCCUUGGUCAAAUCUUUCUGCUGAUAAUGAAGACACUGGUGCGCAAUUUCCUCACUAUGCUGCCUUCUUUCCUGGCAGAAAGAAAACGGCUCGAUAAUCGACAUUGGGCAGUGCAGAAAUACCAUCAUUCAGGGGACUGUAACACCCAACUGUAUGGUUCAGAGUUCAGACCCGGGGAAGAAGGGGGGGGGGGCGGCGGCAAGAUCGACAUGGUCGUUCGAUAGGGCCCGCGGGCCCGCGGAUACAGACCCGGCCUGGCCCAGCACACGUGUGCGCGAGCUUUGUCGAUCCCCAUGGCCAGCAGGGGCCGGCCCGGGGGUUACAUCGCGCAUUCACGCAGCAGCUUUGCUGGUGCGUGCAUGCAGCUGUUGCGUCGAUUGACCCGGGCUGUUCGUGGAGUCGCAACACACUGGCCUGCAGCAGCUGAUUGAUACAGCCGGGUGCCGUGCGUGCGCGCGCGCAGCGGGACACCCGCACAUGCCGGCCGUUCGGCGUCGCACUGUUCACCGGGGAGCUAGCUGAGAUGCAGAAUCAGAAUCCCCUCAACAAACAGUCCACAGUUUAUAUGCUACAGUAUGGGCGAGUACAUCUACUACAUCACGGCUUAUAAAUUGGUUGGCUUUUGCUGAAUGGUAGUACUAAACCAAAUCCUAAUUAAGCAUGCA